CCUACGGGCGGCAGCAGUGGGGAAUAUUGGACAAUGGGGGCAACCCUGAUCCAGCCAUGCCGCGUGUGUGAAGAAGGCCCUCGGGUUGUAAAGCACUUUCAGUGAGGAAGAACGCCUGGUGGUUAAUACCCAUCAGGAAAGACAUCACUCACAGAAGAAGCACCGGCUAACUCCGUGCCAGCAGCCGCGGUAAUACGGAGGGUGCGAGUGUUAAUCGGAAUUACUGGGCGUAAAGCGCGCGUAGGUGGCUUGAUAAGCCGGUUGUGAAAGCCCCGGGCUCAACCUGGGAACGGCAUCCGGAACUGUCAAGCUAGAGUGCAGGAGAGGAAGGUAGAAUUCCCGGUGUAGCGGUGAAAUGCGUAGAGAUCGGGAGGAAUACCAGUGGCGAAGGCGGCCUUCUGGACUGACACUGACACUGAGGUGCGAAAGCGUGGGUAGCAAACAGGAUUAGAUACCCCUGUAGUC
rnacentral:rRNA from 1 species